rnacentral:rRNA from 1 species
GAUGAACGCUGGCGGCGUGCCUAAUACAUGCAAGUCGAGCGAACGGACGAGAAGCUUGCUUUUCUGAUGUUAGCGGCGGACGGGUGAGUAACACGUGGAUAACCUACCUAUAAGACUGGGAUAACUUCGGGAAACCGGAGCUAAUACCGGAUAAUAUUUUGAACCGCUUGGUUCAUAAGUGAAAGACGGUCUUGCUGUCACUUAUAGAUGGAUCCGCGCUGCAUUAGCUAGUUGGUAAGGUAACGGCUUACCAAGGCAACGAUGCAUAGCCGACCUGAGAGGGUGAUCGGCCACACUGGAACUGAGACACGGUCCAGACUCCUACGGGAGGCAGCAGUAGGGAAUCUUCCGCAAUGGGCGAAAGCCUGACGGAGCAACGCCGCGUGAGUGAUGAAGGUCUUCGGAUCGUAAAACUCUGUUAUUAGGGAAGAACAUAUGUGUAAGUAACUGUGCACAUCUUGACGGUACCUAAUCAGAAAGCCACGGCUAACUACGUG